UGUGCCGUUCGUCUGCCGCUCUAACGACAACGAUGACGACUGUAACGAACGCGAAGACGAGUAGGAGAACGUGGAACGACGAACGAAGAACACUCGAGAACUCGUAGACAAGGACUCGGGUCUCGCGGCUGCCUUUUACACUCGCUCUUCUACGACCAGAGGAAACCCAGUUGCGCACUUUAAAUUUCACUGGCGCCUUCCUACUUUGCCCAAAGAACGUCACGUUUUCUUUUCUGCCACUCUCGCCAAUCGUCCUGUUAUCUCUAUGUGUACAACCUUGGUGCGACCUUCUGUGUUCGUCGGACUGCUGUGUACACGUGUUCAAUUGCGUUAUGCGCGAUAAGUUACGCUUAUAAACGUUUGUACUAUACAGUGAGUGCGAAAUGUAUGUGCGUAUGAUUACAUUUAUUAUAGAACUUACAUAUUAAUUAACUGGGUAUAAGUAUAAUGUAUUUCAUAUCAACUCGUGGAACUUUCAUACGAGGAUAUAAAUUUAAUAUAGUAUGAAAAUGAAAUAUAGGUCCUGAUACAGAACUACUUCAUUGGAAAAUAAGAGUAUUAUAGUUCCAGAGAAUAUUCCAAAUUUACCAAUUACAGUUAUCCAAACUACUGUAGAUAAUUUAGGAUUCAACAAUGCCACUUGAGAGUUAAAAUAAUGGUAGUGUGUACGAAGACUCAAGACUGAAUUACUUAUAAGAUGACCUAAUUAAAGCAAAGCGAGUGGAAGGAAUGCGUCCUAUGGAACAUAAUGAAUUAAGUCUACAUCAAUGUUGUUUAUUGUUGGUCGAAGUGCUCACAUCUGCUAUUCUAUAAGUUGGCGCAUAUCGAAUAUUUUAAUCCAGAUGAUUUCCAUGUCAUUCGAUAUACUUUUUCAACGAUUAUUUUCUUUCAUUAUUUGAGAUUUAUAAGAAUUUCUAACAUUGAAAUCUAAAAAUUACAUUUACAACGGACUGUUGUCUUUUUUCAGUUCUGCAUAGCGUCCGAUUCUCAGAUAGUAAUUAAAUGAAGAAAAUUAAGACCUCAUUGAAGCUCGGCUGGAACGAGAUGGUUUAUUGAAAGAGGAAGCAACUGGUGAUAAGUUAACCGGUAAUUUUUGUAGAAGAGGCUCCUUGCGGUGAGUAUGUUUAGUUUGGUGAUAAAUUGAGAGUAGUUCAGAGGUUUAUAUAAUUGAGGUAACUUCUAGCUACGAUCGAUUGCAUCCAGUGAUUGAUUGUUCUGUUACACUAUCUAUCGACAGAUAGUGAUGUAUAAUCUGUCUAUGGGCAAAUCUGCUAAAGAGAGUGAACUACUAUAAGUUUAUAAUUGUUGAAGACAAUAUAGGUCCAUAGUCAAUUGUUAUAAUUGAUCCAUUUAUGAUCAAAGGAUUUUUGUUGAAUCUCGUUUUAAAGGAUAUCACUCGGAGAAUAUACAUGUAGUUAAUUAAUUUCAUUUUAAGCUUAAAACUUAUGAAUAUAUUUGGUUAAUUAUCGAAGUGGAAUGUACUUUAUUAUUUACUAGCAUGAAUGGUAUGUUCCACGAAUUUUGUGACAAAAGUAUUCAACACAAGAAGCUUAUCGCUAUUCUCGUUAAUUUUAUUGUGUUGUGUUAUACUUAAUUGAUGAUGCAAUAAACCAUAAAACAACUUGUCAAGGUAUAAUAAAAUCUUUUAAUAUUGCAAAACAUUAUUGAUUAUUUAAAUAUCGCACAAAUACUAGAUAGAAGAUGCAUGGAAGAUCAGGAUAAUCUAUAUUGGAAUGAGUUGCAAAUUUUCAAAAUCAACUCUCAUAGAAAAAAUUUCAUUUAUUUUUGCACAAGACAAUUUCUAGCUAGCUACAUCCUAAAUUGAAUUUUCUCCUAAAUGGAAAUUCACAUGGAAAAAUGUUAUUCAAUGUUUCCAAUUUAUUUUUUCAUAUAGGAGCAAACUUUCCACAAUAUCAUCAUCAACCAAACCUGGCAUGAUAUAUAAUUGAAAUUACAAUGAAAUUGGAUAACAAUGUUAUAUUAAUUGUGAUAAAUAACAACAUCGAUUUAUGAUAAAUAGAUAUGGUCACUUGACUAAUGUUCAAAGUUCAGGCUAAUGUUAGACAUAAGAUUGUUAGGCUACGUCAUAUUUGAGUUUCAGGUGUUGGAAUACAUCAUACAUGGUUGAGGUGUUAAGUCUAUGACAGACAGGUAAGGAUAGAGUAGGAUGCACAUUAUACCAGAAACAUAUCGAGGUUAAGGUGUUAAACUCCUGUUGAGUUUAUGCUAAGGUGCCGAGUCCGUACCAGAUUUAGUUGGACAGGAUAUAGCGUUUAAUUCGUAUUAGACACAUUAGAUUGUCAAGAGGAAUGUGCCUGAGUACAGACAUUAAAUCUAAAUUAGGAAUUGUCUACUGGAUUAGAAUAUUAGGUUAGAACUGGUUUAACGUAUUAGGUUCCACUUAAAUGCCUGUUAAGGGAUUAAAAUGUUAGGCGAUCAUCUGGGUUAAGUUCGUGUUGAGUUGAAAUUAGAGUAGUAGAUUAGAUUUGAGUACAAAAUUUUAUGGUAUACAAAAUGCUCGUAGCAAUAAAUUGUAUGUAUAUGUACAGAACCGAUUACCUCCAUUCAUUCUAUAUAUAAAAUUAGGGCAUAAACUUAAUAUUACAUAACAGAUUUACGAAUUGCAAGUUGUUUUAUGUUCUUAAAUUUUAUCAUUUGAGUAGCAUUAAAACAAAUUUAUUAUUGACGCAUUAUAGCGUAUUUUUUAAUUUCCUUUUUUAAAGUCCUUUCAGCGUUCUUUAGCUUGUUCUAUAGAUGUAAGAAAUACGUUAUAAGUGAAAUACAAAAUACGAAGAAAAUCGUAAUCCACUUGAACAAAUUAUUUAAUUCCUUGUUAUUAGCACUCGUUUAAAGAUUGAAUUUAUAAUUCAUUAUUCAUUUAUAUUUAUGUACGUACUGAUUGGCGUUGAUGUAUUUUUUCUUUCAUAGCUUUAACUAUUAAUCGCCUUUUAUCAUCAAUAAAUAAUACGAGGAUACAUAUAGAUGAAAAUCAUAAAUAUUCUUAGAAUCGAAGAAAGCAUUGUAUUAAAUCCUCCAUUCCUUUUUCUGUUGCUGCUUCUUUAUUCCAGGAUGACAUUGAUGUUUUCAAUCGAUUCUUCUUUUCGUUGAUUGCCGAAGUUUAAGACAUUCUUUCAAUGUUGGAACUCACCCAGCAUUUGUAGUGUUUAUGUGUUGCCUUUCGUUUAGAGAACAAUAGGUCGCUGCUAUAAACGGAGAAAGCGAGAAACUAACCAAAGAGCAUCCGGUUCCGGUGCUACCGAUAGCCCGUCCUUUCAGCUCUUCGUGUCUACGUCGUAGCGCGUGUGAGUUAUUAUGCGUGACUCCUCAAUUACUGCGAAGGGAUAAUCUAUCUUGUAUUUCCGCUAUGAAAAGGGAAACCUUAGAUGGAUGAACUAACAAAAUAUGAUAAUAAUUUGUUACGUCAAUCUGAUAUCCGGGCUUUUCUUUAGGGAUAAUUGUAUUUUUCAUAGUAUUUUGGUAUAAUUGCGAAAUAUUAUAGCGUGGCACUAUGAUAUGAUACUCUAGCGUAGCACAUAUGUAUAUAGAUUUUAUGUUUCUAAGUGAAAUAUUUAAUUAUACUUAAUCUUUCUCUGAGAGUUACGUUCAUUUAUGGACUCGCCGAAUUAAAUGCAAAAUGUAAUUACGUUAAUCGUUCAACGAAAGUGCAAGUUUUUUCUACUUUAUUAAUAAGCAAAAGAAACAUUCGUACGACUUAAGAUGGCUAAUAAAGACACAUUGAAAUUUUUCGAGGAAUCAGAACAACUGUAAAAAAACUCCGAGUUAGUUAAAUCUCGGAGUAACGAGGAUCUCUCCUUUUAAUUAGAAUUCUUAAGAUCUCUCCUCAUACAAAUAAGAGUCGCGAGAAAUUUAAGUAAACUCUGGCCAAAGAGAGAGAAAUGCAUGUUUUUAUGAUAUUUACGGAAUUCAUAUUUUGAUCGAAUUUCGUUAUUAUGUAAAUUAAUAUAAAACUUUGAUAAUAACGUUGAAAGUAUAAAGUAUGCGAUAAAGUAUCGUAAUUAUUCAGAGGUUACAAUGUCAAAAUAAAGGAUUUGUCAGUAAUAUGAAUGAAUUCGCCAGUGAAAAGCAAACCACAAUAAGAUCAUCGCGUAUGUAUACAUGAUUAUUUAUAACAAUAAUUUGAUAUCUGUUUUGUUUAUUGUGAUCGUAAUUCAGUGAACGAAAUUCCCAAAUAUUCCAUGUAUUUAAAUAUUGCAACCUUUCCUAUGCUAUGAUAAAUAAAUUUCGUUAAUUUAUAUCAAUUUAUGCCAAUUAAUUCUGACUAAAUUGGCCAAUUAAAUUGGGUGAUAAUGUAAAUGUCCCUAUUUGGGUAUUUUCCGCUUAUACAAUAGAUUAUACUACAAUAGAUUUUAAUGCAUUGAGUCAACAUCGAUGAUGUAUUCGUAAAGUAUUUUUACAAUUAUAAAUAUGUGUAAUUUUGUAUGAUCAUUAUAUAUCAUUGCAUACAGUAAUAAUUUAUUUCUUAAUUAUUUCACUCAUCUUUAAUUUGAUUAACAGUGAAAAUGUAUACGCACGAGUGUGAAAUAUAAAUAAUGAAGGAAAUGUCAAAAGAAUACAAAACAGUAAAUCAGAAAAAAGGAAAGUAAAACUUCAAAUCAUAAUUAAAUAAUUAAUCUUAAUCAGCGUAGAUGCGUAAUCCUUAUUGGACCAUGUAAUUUUGUAUCAAAUUCUUAUAGUAACUUUUUAACUUCAAAUAUCCAAUCUCCUCCAGCCUUCUCUUUUCAACAUUCACCAUUUAAUUUUUGAAUACAAGUUGCUUUGUAUAGAGAUUUUUUAAUAUUUCAACAAAUCAUUCAACAAACAUUCUAAUAACAUAAAAAUUCCAAUAUGCGCACCUGUGGUUAAACUUCAAUGGGAUCGCUAUCAAGCGGGCGAUUGUGGCCGUGUCGAUAUUCUAGAGCGUGCAAAACAAUGCUUGCAGCUGACGUUUUACACUUUUCAGCGGCUGAUUGUGAAAUUGAAUAGAUUCUUUGACGCAGUUUUCCUCUUCUGUAUUCUGGUCGUGUUGAUCUGGCCAUUCAAAUCUUUCAGCGGGUCGAUAGACACGUUUCGGUACACUUACAGAAAUGUCAGGAAACUGCAGGUUGAUUGUUUAUACCUAUGAUGUUUGAAAGAAAAGGAUAUUGUUGUAUGCUGUAUACAAUACAGUACAUGCAUGGUAUACAUACCCUAUCAGCCGAAAAGAAUAUUAUUGUGUCAGUUUGAAGAAAGAAAAGAGUAUUUUCCAACUAUUGUAGGAUGAGAUAUUGUAACUUCCAUUUCAAAGUAAAAAAAGAAUUUUUGGAAGCUAAUUGCAGUUCGUGCGUAAUUUUGUAACUGAAAUACACUUUGAUAAAUGUAACCAAGCGUCGAGACAGUUUUAAGCUGUUAACCGGAGGAGAUACAUUAACUUGUCAAUCAAAUUCUCUUCGAUUCCGAUAACAUAAAUUGAUUGAAGAAAAGUUACAAUGCUUUGACUCAACCUCGG